rnacentral:rRNA from 1 species
UACGGAGGAUGCGAGCGUUAUCCGGAUUUAUUGGGUUUAAAGGGUGCGUAGGCGGGUUAUCAAGUCAGCGGUAAAAUCGUGGAGCUCAACUCCAUCCAGCCGUUGAAACUGGCGGGCUGGAGUUGGAGAGAAGUACGCGGAAUGCGCGGUGUAGCGGUGAAAUGCUUAGAUAUCGCGCAGAACCCCGAUUGCGAAGGCAGCGUACCGGCUCUACACUGACGCUGAGGCACGAAAGCGCGGGGAUCGAACAGG